GAUGAACGCUGGCGGCGUGCCUAAUACAUGCAAGUCGAGCGAACAGACGAGGAGCUUGCUCCUCUGACGUUAGCGGCGGACGGGUGAGUAACACGUGUAUUACCUCCCUAUCAUACUGGUAUAACUUCGUGAAACCGGCGCUAAUACCGGAUAAUAUCUUGUACCGCAUGGUUCAAUAGUGAAUUUCGGUUUUGCUUUCACUUAUAGCUGGAUCCCCUCCGCAUUAGCUAGUUGGUAAGGUACCGGCUUACCAAGGCACCGAUGCGUAGCCGAUCGUAGAGGGUGAGCGGGCACGAUGGAACGUAGACACAGACCGGGCACCUGCGAGGGGCGAGAGUAGGAAGGCAGACAGAAUGGGCGAAAGCCUGACAGAGCGAGGCAGCGUGAGGGAUGAAGGUCGUCGGAGCGUAGAACGCUGUUAGUAGGGAAGAACAAAUGUGUAAGUAACUAUGCACGUCGUGACGGUACCUAAUCAGAAAGCAACGGCUAACUACGUG
rnacentral:rRNA from 1 species